rnacentral:rRNA from 1 species
GCUCAACCGGGGAGGGUCAUUGGAAACUGGGGAACUUGAGUGCAGAAGAGGAGAGUGGAAUUCCACGUGUAGCGGUGAAAUGCGUAGAGAUGUGGAGGAACACCAGUGGCGAAGGCGACUCUCUGGUCUGUAACUGACGCUGAGGCGCGAAAGCGUGGGGAGCGAACAGGAUUAGAUACCCUGGUAGUCCACGCCGUAAACGAUGAGUGCUAAGUGUUAGAGGGUUUCCGCCCUUUAGUGCUGCAGCAAACGCAUUAAGCACUCCGCCUGGGGAGUACGGUCGCAAGACUGAAACUCAAAGGAAUUGACGGGGGCCCGCACAAGCGGUGGAGCAUGUGGCUUAAUUCGAAGCAACGCGAAGAACCUUACCAGGUCUUGACAUCCUCUGACAACCCUAGAGAUAGGGCUUCCCCUUCGGGGGCAGAAUGACAGGUGGUGCAUGGUUGUCGUCAGCUCGUGUCGUGAGAUGUUGGGUUAAGUCCCGCAACGAGCGCAACCCUUGAUCUUAGUUGCCAGCAUUCAGUUGGGCACUCUAAGGUGACUGCCGGUGACAAACCGGAGGAAGGUGGGGAUGACGUCAAAUCAUCAUGCCCCUUAUGACAUGGGCUACACACGUGCUACAAUGGGCAGAACAAAG